UUGGGCAGUACUGGUGCUGCAGAAUGUCUGUGUUUAUAGGUGCAAGGUGCUGAGCAAUGCAAUGGAGAAGGGGAGUCAGGGCCAGACUGCCCAAGGAACCUCAAAGUCAGAGGAAUAAUUUUGGACACUUCAUUUGGGCAUGGGGAGCCACGGGAGGGUUUACACAGGGGAAUGAAGAGAUAAGAGUUGU